GUACAUUCAGGAUGGUGAAAUGAAAUCGUGUCCCUCUCAGUGCAUUGAUCUUUAAGGUUCUGUUCAGUUACUGCUCCAUUUGAGAGCAGGCACACACUGUAUGUGGCUAUUAUAAUGAUUAUGGCAGACCUGCUGGAUGUGUAGUUACUAGGAGAAUUAUUGUUAAAAAGGUUGAAUGUGCAGUUACUAGGAGGAUUGUGGCAACGUUUUUGGGACUCUGCCGGAUGUGCUCUGAC